rnacentral:rRNA from 1 species
ACACUCCUACGGGAGGCAGCAGUGGGGAAUUUUGGACAAUGGGCGAAAGCCUGAUCCAGCAAUGCCGCGUGAGUGAAGAAGGCCUUCGGGUUGUAAAGCUCUUUUGUCAGGGAAGAAACGGUGAGAGCUAAUAUCUUUUGCUAAUGACGGUACCUGAAGAAUAAGCACCGGCUAACUACGUGCCAGCAGCCGCGGUAAUACGUAGGGUGCAAGCGUUAAUCGGAAUUACUGGGCGUAAAGCGUGCGCAGGCGGUUUUGUAAGUCUGAUGUGAAAUCCCCGGGCUCAACCUGGGAAUUGCAUUGGAGACUGCAAGGCUAGAAUCUGGCAGAGGGGGGUAGAAUUCCACGUGUAGCAGUGAAAUGCGUAGAUAUGUGGAGGAACACCGAUGGCGAAGGCAGCCCCCUGGGUCAAGAUUGACGCUCAUGCACGAAAGCGUGGGGAGCAAACAGGAUUAGAUACCCCGGUAGUCCCA